UACGUAGGGGGCAAGCGUUGUCCGGAUUUAUUGGGCGUAAAGCGCUCGCAGGUGGUCCGAUGCGUCGUGCGUGAAAGACCCUGGCUCAACUGGGGAGUGUCGUGCGAUACGGGCAGACUAGAGUCAGGUAGGGGAGAACGGAAUUCCUGGUGUAGCGGUGAAAUGCGCAGAUAUCAGGAGGAACACCGGUGGCGAAGGCGGUUCUCUGGGCCUGUACUGACGCUGAGGAACGAAAGCGUGGGGAGCGAACAGG
rnacentral:rRNA from 1 species